rnacentral:rRNA from 1 species
AUUGAACGCUGGCGGCAUGCCUGACACAUGCAAGUCGAACGGCAGCACGGUUCAGUUUACUGAAUGGGUGGCGAGUGGCGAACGGGUGAGUAACGCGUAGGAAUAUACCUUGAAGAGUGGGACAACCUGGGGAAACUCAGGCUAAUACCGCAUAAUCUCUCAGGAGGAAAGCUGGGGACCUUAGGGCCUGGCGCUUUAGGAUUAGCCUGCGUCCGAUUAGCUAGNGGUGGGGUAAAGGCUUACCAAGGCGACGAUCGGUAGCUGGUCUGAGAGGAUGAUCAGCCACACUGGAACUGAGACACGGUCCAGACUCCUACGGGAGGCAGCAGUGGGGAAUAUUGGACAAUGGGGGAACCCUGAUCCAGCAAUGCCGCGUGUGUGAAGAAGGCCUGAGGGUU